AUGUCACUUCAUCCUCUUCUGAUUUCAUGGGUAAAAAGUUGAAUAGGGGAUUUAAAACAAAAGAACAGACAUCAAGAUUGGUUAAAAUUUCGGCAAGUUUGGCAGCCCGGCAGAAUUGCAUCAAGGAAGACAAAGAAAGGGAGGGGGAUUGAGUUUUGCCGUUGUAGCAAAUGAUCACACAUACAAUAGAUCAACAAACAGCGAACGUGAUACAGACGUCCCGAUUGAAGAGGCUACACAACGAUUUAGUGAUACACACAAUUGGAGAGAAGGGCGAAGAAUAGUAGAGCUAGAUAUAUUAGCUCAGGGCUUAUCGGGUUGUAAAAAAUGUGGAGUCCCACUUCAACUUUCCCAUGCAAUUGACAUCAAGACAUGUGGCCUUUCUGCACUUCUGAAAGUUCCCUGUUACAAUACAAAUUGUAAUUACAUCAAUUGUGUACCCACUGGGAAGAGGCAUAAUGGCAUAUGGGAUGCAAAUUCAAAGCUUGCAACAGCAAUGGUUCACAGUGGAAUUGGUGGAAGGCAAGUUAAUAGCUUCUUGUCAGCCCUUAAUAUCCCACCAGUCAGCAAUACCCUCCUUUCCAAAAGAGAGAAGGAGAUGGGAAGUGCAAUGGAAUGUGUUGCCCAAGCCAGUGUUAUGGAAAAUUUAUCAGAAGAAGUGAAAUUGUCUAAAAUAGAUGAAAAUACUGAUGGGCUAACUGUAAGUGUUGAUGGUGCAUGGCAGAAGAGGGGAAGUGGCAGAUCAUUUGACAGUCUUUCAGGUCACUGCUCAAUGAUUGGGGCCAAAACAGGAAAAGUUGUUGGAUAUAAUGUGCACAGCAAGUUCUGCAAGACCUGUGAUAAUUCGUUAAAGAAAGGAAAAACACCAAAUAAGCAUGACUGUCGGAUGAACUGGAGUGGAAGUGCUAAGGCCAUGGAGCAGGAUAUGGUGGUUGAGAUGAUGAAAACAUGUAAAGAAAAAGGAGCCGUGGUAGAGACAAUCAUUGCAGAUGAUGAUACAACAACACUUGCCAGAAUAAAACAAAAUGUUAAUCCAUCCAUAAAGAAAAAGUCUGAUAAAAACCACGUAAAGAAAAAUAUUGGCAAUGCCUUUGUACUCCUUGCGAAACAAGCACAAGAAGUUGCAAAAUCCAAAGGUUUUCAAGUAUUUGCAGAAGUGUUUGGACUACAUGCUGGCUCAGAACCAAGGAAAUUCAGAUGGUAUAGAGAAUGGGUUAGAAGCAAUCAGUAGACAUCCUUUUGGGGACCACUCAUUUUGCCAGUCUUCAUGGUGCCAUCGUAUAGACAACCCCAGCAGAAAAUACUCUUCAUUUCCUUAUGGAAAACCUCUUCGAGAUAUUCCCCUCCAGACAGGUCUUGGAGAUCUGAUGCAUAGCUACAAAUCCCAGAGUCAAAAGCUUUCUUCAAUGGGUAGCACUCAAACCAAUGAGAGCUUCAACAAAACAGUUGCAUCAAAAGCUCCUAAAACACAGUUUUACAGUGGAUCAGCCAGCUUGAACAGGAGGAUUGCAUCUGCUGUUGCACAAAAGAAUGAUGGACAAAGUUACCUACUGAAGGUGUACAGAGAACUUGGACUCUCUCCUGGGUGCCAUACACGAAGACUUGCCUUACUGCGUGACAUGCAGGCCAGGAAGAGAAAGGCGAUAUGUUCAACAUGGAAAUAUAAACUGAGGAGAAUUCAGCUCAAGAACAGGAGAGUCAAGUCAAAUGCAGUGAAAGAACUGAGAGAGGGAGACAGCUAUGGCAGUUCUGUUGAGCUCAUGAUUCAUCAGGACAUAAACGAGAUUCCUUCCCCGAGAGUUCCACCAAAGGAUGUUGGGAUAAAGUCAGCUUCAAUACCUGUAUACUUUGAUUUAGAAACCACUGGAUUAGGUCGUAAUUCCCACAUUACCCAGACGGCUGCUGUAUGCGGAUAAAAUCAGUGGCAGUGUUUUGUCAAGCCAAAAGUUCCCAUUUCUACCUCAGCAUCUGAUGUGACAGGCAUAACGAUGAGAGGCAGUCAGAUGUUCCACAGGGGCAAACCUGUCCAUUCCAGCAAUCUGUCCUCUGCUUUAGAGUCCUUUGUUGAAUUUAUUUCUAGACAAGGAAAAUGUGCCAUCCUUUCUGGGCAUAACAUCAAGUCUUAUGACUGCCAUGUUUUAUUUAACGCCUUAGAAGCAGUUGGGAAGAUGGAUACUUUUAAAGAUCAUGUUGCUGGAUUUGUCGAUACCAAGCUUUUGUUUAGGUCACAAUUCCCAGGGUUGCCAUCUUAUUCCCAACAGGCUCUAGUUUCAUCGUUCCUUCACUGUGACUACGCCGCUCAUGACGCAUUACAAGACGUCGUGUUCCUUCAAAGACUUGUACGGUUAGUUAAUUUUGAUGAACAUAAUAGACUGAAGGCGUCUUUCUCUCUGCCAUGUGCAACUUUUUCACAUGAGAGCUUAAGAGUAACAGCCCACAACCUACCAUCUCUUCAAGGACUUGUCAAUGAAAAAAUAAUUACUAAGUGCAUGGGUAGAAAAAUUGCCGCCAGUGACUUGAACUAUGCAGCUCUAAAGCUAGCAUUUAGUAGGGGAGAGGAAGAGGGCAUACGACAGGUUUUAUCAGAAGAAUGUGGAAGCAGACCAAGAGUGACUAAGUCAUCAAAGAUCAUACACUCCAUAGCUGAACAUUUUAGAAGUACAUUUCUAAGUGAAAGUUAAUUAAGCUCAUAUUAUGACAGAAGUGUAUAUACUGCCUUUGAUUUUCAUUUUCCCUGAACUAGAUAUUAGCUCUAGUAUGUACUGUAUGAUGUAACUCUCCCCAGCUCUCCAAAAAAUCAUGUAGAUAUAUCAAUAUCAACUUUUAUCACCAUUGUUUCUCUCUAUGUUCUCCCUACAAGGAUGGAAUAGUUUCAUCAUUCAGAGAAUUUUUAUACGACAAAUGUUAAUUUUUCAACUGAUCAGAUUUAGUAAAUUGUUGCACAUGUAACCUAUUUAUUUCAUCAGAUAAGGCAGCAUUGUAAUACCACCAUGCAUUGAUGCAAGUUCAUUUACCAUAAUACCAUAUAACUCACAAUUUAGUAAAAUAUGUUAUGAAUGUGUGUACCGGGUAUAUAAACUAUCAGUAUUUGCUUUCACGUAGAUCUUUCAAACUACCAAAAAAGUUGAAUUUAGAAAGUAUGUGCUAUGUAUACUGGUAUAUUGUGUGCCAUUGUUGCAUUUAUUGUGUGCUACUGAGAGUUUUUUUUUAUAUAUUUCUUUUCUUCCAAUCAUUUGAAAUGCAUAUACUGGUCAAAACUUAUCGAUCAGACAUCAGUUCUGACGAUGCAUGUUUUGUCGACAUAUCAUUGUUUGUAUUCCUUGAUAAUCACUGUCAAAUUAUAAUUAAUGCAUCCAAAUUCUUUGUUUUUAAACAAAUAUCAAAUGCAUUUUUAAUUUUAUAUUGAAUAAUUACAUUAUUAUAAAAUACUUUAAUAAACUAGAACAUUUCAUUAACUAGAAAAACCCUAUGCCAUUCCAUGUUAUUUAAGGUCGCAUCCAGAAGAUUGUCUAUAAGUACUAAAUACACCUCUUUGUCUUAUUUUUUAAAGUUUAAUUGGUUGUAUGUCUACUGUUUGUUCAUUAAAAUCUUUUCUUUACAUAAUUACAAUUGCUGUUAAAGAUAAUUACACCAAUUUAAAAUUUUUGGUGAAUAAAACUUCAUGUUUUUCUCC
rnacentral:misc_RNA from 1 species